rnacentral:rRNA from 1 species
UUCCGGUUGAUCCUGCCGGACCUGACUGCUAUCGGAUUGAUACUAAGCCAUGCGAGUCUUUGUAGUAAUACAAGGCAUACGGCUCAGUAACGCGUAGUCAACCUACCCUAUGGACAAGAAUAAUCUCGGGAAACUGAGCAUAAUUCUUGAUAGAUCAUAAUGCCUGGAAUGGUUUAUGGUUAAAAUGAUUCGUCGCCAUAGGAUGGGACUGCGGCCUAUCAGCUUGUUGGUGAGGUAAUGGCCCACCAAGGCGAUUACAGGUACGGGCUCUGAGAGGAGAAGCCCGGAGAUGGGUACUGAGACAAGGACCCAGGCCCUAUGGGGCGCAGCAGGCGAGAAAACUUUGCAAUGUGCGAAAGCACGACAAGGUUAGUCCGAGUGAUUUCUGCUAAAGAGAUCUUUUGCUAGUUAUAAAACCACUAGUGAAUAAGGGGUGGGCAAGUUCUGGUGUCAGCCGCCGCGGUAAAACCAGCACCUCAAGUGGUCAGGAUGAUUAUUGGGCCUAAAGCAUCCGUAGCCGGCUCUGUAAGUUUUCGGUUAAAUCUAUGCGCUCAACGUAUGGGCUGCCGAAAAUACUGCAGAGAUAGGGAGUGGGAGAGGUAGACGGUACUCGGUAGGAAGGGGUAAAAUCCUUUGAUCUAUCGAUGACCACCUGUGGCGAAGGCGGUCUACCAGAACACGUUCGACGGUGAGGGAUGAAAGCUGGGGGAGCAAACCGGAUUAGAUACCCGGGUAGUCCCAGCUGUAAACGAUGCAGACUCGAUGAUGCAUUGGCAUAUAGCCAGUGCAGUGUCGCAGGGAAGCCGUUAAGUCUGCCGCCUGGGAAGUACGUACGCAAGUAUGAAACUUAAAGGAAUUGGCGGGGGAGCACCACAAGGGGUGAAGCCUGCGGUUCAAUUGGAGUCAACGCCGG